rnacentral:sRNA from 1 species
AGCAGCCGCGGUAAUUCCAGCUCCAAUAGCGUAUAUUAAAGUUGUUGCAGUUAAAAAGCUCGUAGUUGAAUUUCGGGAUCAGUAUGUUGGUCGUGCUUCGGUACGUACUGUCAUUACUGGUUUCUACCUUCUGAAGAACCAUGAUGUCAUUAAUUUGGUGUCAUGGGGAAUCAGGACUGUUACUUUGAAAAAAUUAGAGUGUUUAAAGCAGGCUCGCGCUUGAAUACAUUAGCAUGGAAUAAUGAAAUAGGACGUUUGAUUCUAUUUUGUUGGUUUCUAGGAUCGACGUAAUGAUUAAUAGGGAUAGUUGGGGGCAUUAGUAUUCAAUUGUCAGAGGUGAAAUUCUUGGAUUUAUUGAAGACUAACUACUGCGAAAGCAUUUGCCAAGGAUGUUUUCAUUAAUCAAGAACGAAAGUUAGGGGAUCGAAGACGAUCAGAUACCGUCGUAGUCUUAACCAUAAACUAUGCCGACUAGGGAUCGGAUGAUGUAUUUUAAUGA